UACGGAGGGUGCGAGCGUUGUCCGGAAUCAUUGGGCGUAAGGGGCGCGUAGGUGGCCCGGUCAGUCCGUGGUGAAAGCGCGGGGCUCAACCCUGCGUCGGCCAUGGAUACUGCCGCGGCUCGAGCACUGUAGAGGCAGGCGGAAUUCCGGGUGUAGCGGUGGAAUGCGUAGAUAUCCGAAAGAACACCGGAGGCGAAGGCGGCUUGCUGGGCAUGGUCUGACGCUGAGGCGCGAAAGCGUGGGGAGCGAACAGG
rnacentral:rRNA from 1 species